UUACGACCAUACCACAUUGAAAAACCGGUUCUCGGAAGAUCAUCGAAGGUAAGCAAGGUCGAACCUAGUCAGCACCAAGAUGGGUGACCUCUUGGGAAUACCAGCUGGUGUAAG